UUUCCUACCAGUCUGUCUUGAUUGAGUGUUUUUAACUUCGUUAAAAAUUUCCUAAGGAAAACAAAGAUGAUUCAGUAAAAAAUUUAAUGCAAUAUCAGUCUUAAGAAUUAGGAUGUGUUUAUUUGUUUAUCUUUACUAAAACUGGCAAACACUUUAGAUAAACACUUAGGUAUUACCCAUGAAUAAAUGAAAUUGUUAUUCAACAUGAAAAAAUGUGCUACUCAGCAGAUUUCCUUUACUCUGAAUGUAUUCA
rnacentral:lncRNA from 1 species